CGAUCUGUGGCGGAGACCGGCGGAGAGGUUUUCAUAUGGUGAAACGUGGCUUGAACGGAUCCAACGGCGGUCAAUGAAAGAGAAGGUUUGGGUCUCUCGUUUAUGGAUUUCGGGUCAAAACCGUUGCUUCCUUUUUACCCUUUUCUUUCUUCUUCGUCUCUGCGAGACCAGAGUUGCGAAAACCCUCAACGCCAUUUCCCUCUUCUUCGUUCCUCCUCUCUCUUGUUCUCUAUUCUUCCUCCUUUCUUCGUAUCUGUUCAGCGGCAUCCGAAGCGCGAAGUCAUCUCCCAUUUCAUGUGUGCCCAGAGAGACAACGAGGAAUCACUGUUAGAGAGAGAGAGGAGAUGGCAACUUCAGGUGUACCAGACAUCAAUGUCGUUGCUCUUUGCGGCUCCCUCCGCAAAGCUUCCUACCAUCGUGGCCCCAUCCGCUCUGUUACUGUUAUUGCUACUGCUGCUGCUUCUUUUUGUUAUUUAUGUAGACUUUAAGAUCGGGAAUCUAAUUCGUAUUCUUUCCUACUACAUUUGGUUCCAAGAUCUCAGCUGCUUUGGUUAUUCCAAUCUCGGAGUCUUCAACGACGAUUGAGUCUCGGAUGAAGGUUGUUGCUCCGCCUUAUCUGGUUCAGCCUCCUCCACAGUAGUUCGAGAAGCCUGCAUCGACGAAUUCGGUCGUCUGUGUUUGGACUCUUCUGAAAUGCUGUCGCUUAAUUUCAAAGUGCAGCGCAUUCGAGCUUGGAUGAGUAUUUGGCCGACUGGUUUGGUUUGAAUCAGUCGAGAUAUCACUGGGCGUUGAAUGAUUAUUAUGAAAGCAGGUGAAUGGGAGGAGAGGAGGACGAUGGAGGGGUUCAGCUCUUUGAUUUUAAGAGGUAGAGCAAGAGUGAUGAACAGCUGAGAGAAAGGGGGAAAUGAUUCUUAAGAAGAAGAGGCUGGCUGGGAAAUUUCACAGAGAGGAAGUUUUGGUGAGGAAUUUGAGUUCUAGGCUUUCAUUGCAUGAAGAACUCACUCUGAAUCGCCUCAUCUGGUGGAGCGACCAUCGAUUAUCACUCUGAGAUCUUUCUUUCUCUCUUCUCAGGCGUAUAAACUCAGGAUAUGUGUAACGGUAGAACACCCCAAUCGAUUUGGGCGAUACCAUUUUGUGUCUUCUUCGUUGUGAAGUUGGUGGCUACUGUGUUGAAGCAGCAGCAACUCCAAGGUGGUGAAUACUUGGAUUGAGAUUGGUGGUGAUGCCUUUCCUGCAGGCUUUUGCGGUUCUUCUUCUCCUUUUCUUUUACUGUUCUGUCAGUUCCAGCAAGUAGCUUCACUCUAUCAUGGCCUACCACUGGGGAGAUUUCUAAACUUUCCUCGGUCUCUUAUUCUUAAUUUAUUCCUGCUGCUACUACUCAUUUUUGCAGGUUUUCUUUAUUUUUUCUUAUCUUGUGAUUUCUGUUUUGCGCCAUUCUAGUUGCAGGAAUUUCAUGCUUCGGUCCUUCCAAUACAGCUGUUGGAUGGGCCUCCUUUUUUGAUAUUGUCUCUACCACCAAGUUGGGAUAAGGCUGAGUGUUGUCUUUACCUUCAACCAUAAUUUGAGAGGCAUCUGACCAACAGUGUGAGUUAUUGCUACUCUUAUGAGUUGAUAAUUUCUGGUUUUCUUUAGUUUCUAUUUUCUGUUCACACUUGAUAAUAUCAGAUUGCCUUGAUAUUUUAGGCACAGAAUCCAUCUAUUAGACUUCCAGUGGACCGUAGCAAUUUUCUGCCUAAUGUUCUCAGUUUUGGUUCAUUGUGGUUCUGGUUUUCUAAUAGGUUUCGUAGUGUUCGUCCCUUCAGCCUAGUAAAUCUCAUCGUGGCCUAUUAAGAUAAGCUUGUCUACAUGGCCCAAAAUAUACUAAUAUAUGGUAGCCGCCCAAUUUCCUUAUACAUUCUGUGGCUGUCACUAGCUCAAGGACUACACAAUGGGUCUCCAUUUCUAUGCACGAGCAAGUACCAGUAGUAGCAAUAUAACUCUCCAAAUGAAUUUAAAAAAGGUUCAGGAUCUGCGCUGAGAAAUGAAGUAGGCAAAUUCAAAAUGAACAAAUGGUCCAACCAUGUUGUGCCCAUUUCAGUAAAAGAAAAAAAAAAAGGUCCCACUAUAGCUAAAUCAACAUAAGUCAUCUCAUUAUCAUAAUAAAUAAUUCUACUUCACUAAAAGGCAGAGUUGCAAGUUCUGCAUGUGUUGGUAAGAUGGAUAGCUGGCUAUCAUUUACUGGCUAAAUUGGAAACUAGAUUGGUGCACUAAUGGGUCCUAAUCAUCUUUUUAUUUGGCUUAGGUUUCAUAGAAAACUAACAUCCACAAUGCGGCAAAAUAAAUCAUUGGGAAGAUAAAGUUUUGGAAAGACAGUUGCACAAUUCAAAAAACAAGAUAGAAAAUCCAAUACAUAGUGAGUUAUAUGGUUGAUGAAUAUAAAUUUGCAUACAGUUAAUGGGGGAUACCUAUCUAAUAGUUUGAAUUGGUUAUAGAAGGCUUCCAUGUGGCUCAAUUAGGCUGCGACCAUGCUAAAUUGAAGAACAUUGAUCAUGAUAAAAAAUUUUAAUUUACCAAGUAUUAUGCUCCUUAUUAGUAAUGAAAGAAGAUAUAGAGUGACAAGGGCUGUGUUUUCGAAGUUAUUUUUGAAUUUUCCUUUGUCAAGGGAUGAAUCCACCUUGUACCAUGGUCCUUGUGGGUGGAAAGGGUGGAGGUGGGGGCUGAAGUUCUUUCUGUGCCCAACCCGCCAAUUUAACAUACCCCUAACGGGAUGUGCAUACAACUCUGCUCCCAUUUUAAAGCUCAUAGAAGGGAGAGGAGGGGGUGGGGUGGUAGGACCUUGGUGGUUGCAAAACUUUCAGUUGCUUAUUAUUUAAUUUUUUUUAUUUUUUGGCUUCUAACCAUCGAAUUGAUUAAAAUCUCGAGAUAAGUUACACGUUGAAUAUGGUGGCCUCAGUUAACUGUUUGACCUACCAUAUAUGAGGUUUUAUGCUUGUAAUUCAAAGGUUUGCCCAUUAUUUUUUUAAACAUUGUUUUGAAUUUUUUUUUUCAGUUUUAUUUUGACAUGUGGUAAUAUUAGAUUGAAAAUUAUUCAAUGAUUAGAUGAUGAUGUGGAUUCAUGUUCAUGAAAUUUGGAGGCAAACAAAUAUUGUCAUGUAGUGAAAAAAGUGAGGACAUCAGAUCACACCUUUACUGUAGGAUCUGAUUUGGUUUUUUAGUUCUUUUGGCUCAUGUGAGUAUCUAUUGGCAUUUGGACUUUGUAGACGUGUUGUUCAUGUAAUUAUCUAAUAUGAGUUGAUCAUCAACCCAAUCUGGCAUAGCCGUGUUAGAAUAAAGCUUUCAAAAUUGUAUGAAGCAAUCAAUUAUUGUAAAACAAAUACCAUUGAAAUAACAAGGGCUAAGGCCUUAUAUAGUUGAAAUGGACCACCAAUUUGACAUGCGGUUUUUUUAAGGGAUUUUUCAUGACUGUUAUGCUUAAAA